rnacentral:rRNA from 1 species
AGCGAACGCUGGCGGCAGGCUUAACACAUGCAAGUCGAACGGUCCUUCGGGAUAGUGGCGGACGGGUGAGUAACACGUCGGAACGUACCCUUAGGUUCGGAACAACACAGGGAAACGUGUGCUAAUACCGGAUAAGCCCUUCGGGGGAAAGAUUUAUCGCCUUUGGAGGGGCCCGCGUCUGAUUAGCUUGUUGGUGAGGUAAUGGCUCACCAAGGCUACGAUCAGUACCUGGUCUGAGAGGAUGGCCAGCCACACUGGGACUGAGACACGGCCCAGACUCCUACGGGAGGCAGCAGUGGGGAAUCUUGCGCAAUGGGCGAAAGCCUGACGCAGCCAUGCCGCGUGGAUGAUGAAGGUCUUAGGAUUGUAAAAUCCUUUCACCGGGGACGAUAAUGACGGUACCCGGAGAAGAAGCCCCGGCUAACUUCGUGCCAGCCGCCGCGGUAA